AGGGCAAGUCUGGUGCCAGCAACCGCGGUAAUUCCAGCUCCAAUAGCGUAUAUUAAAGUUGUUGCAGUUAAAAAGCUCGUAGUUGAAUUUCGGGGUCAGCAGGUUGGUCGUGCCAAUGGUAUGCACUGGCCUUGCUGAUUCCUCCCUCUUGAUGAGCCGUAAUGCCAUUAAUUUGGUGUUGUGGGGAAUCAGGACUGUUACUUUGAAAAAAUUAGAGUGUUUAAAGCAGGCAAGCGCUUGAAUACAUUAGCAUGGAAUAAUGAAAUAGGACGUUCGAUCCUAUUUUGUUGGUUUCUAGGAUUGACGUAAUGAUUAAUAGGGAUAGUUGGGGGCAUUAGUAUUCAAUUGUCAGAGGUGAAAUUCUUGGAUUUAUUGAAGACUAACUACUGCGAAAGCAUUUGCCAAGGAUGUUUUCAUUAAUCAAGAACGAAAGUUAGGGGAUCGAAGACGAUCAGAUACCGUCGUAGUCUUAACCAUAAACUAUGCCGACUAGGGAUCGGAUGAUGUUAAUUUUUUAAUGACUCAUUCGGCGCCUUACGGGAA
rnacentral:rRNA from 1 species